UUUUUUUAUUGUCCUUUCACCAGAAAAUUAAAAUGUUUUUCUCUAAUAACACGAAUCCAGAAAUUCAUUGAACACCUUUAUCCCAAGAACACAAACCCAUAAAUUCUCUCUAUCGUCUUUCUUCUUCCUCCUUCUUGUUCCUUCAUCCCAACCACUAAAACCAGAAUCAAACCCUAAUCAGUGUGUCCUUUCAAAAUUCGCUCUCAGUUUCAUCAAUUUGGGUGAAGAAUGAUUUUGGGUUGUUUUUUUAAAAAUUUGCACCUUUUUAUGGAAGAACAAGAAUGAUUAUGGGUUGUUCUUCUGACUCGAUUGUGAUUGUGGGGAAAAAUUUAAGCUUUUUGAGAUAAGAAACAGUGGUGUUGGAAUCUAUGAGAUUGUAACUGAGACUGUAACACUUUUUCACAGAGAAGCCAUGAAACUAGAUUUGGGAAGAGGAGUCGUCGUCGGAAGCCAGCUCACCACCGUCGAAGCGUGCCGACCAUAUCCAACAACAUCCACUAUUUUCUAUGCGACUAUGUUUUCUAUGUGACACAGUUUUCUCUACUUCUAACCCUUCACGAAACCGGUGAUUUUUUUAUUUUCGGAAACUUGUGCCGGUGAUUUUUCCGAUGCCGGUGCGGUUGUUGUUUUUUCUCCCUCGUUUUGUGAGGAAGAAAUUUGGUCAAAUGACAAGAACAGGAAGAAGGUUGAAUGUAUGUGUGAAACAUUGCUACUGUUGGAUCCACGUUGGCUCAACAAAUAAUUCUUUGUUCAAUGCUUAAUAAUUGUUUUGUCUAGAUUAUUUUCUUUAGAUCAAAAGGAACGUUUAUGAUUUAAAACAAAUGUGUGAUUUACUCAGUACCUCAUAUCAUUUAUGAUUUAUAUGAAUAUGUUUGGUGGUGCCAGCUACUAGCGGUUACAUUUGUUUGGUGGUUCCAUUUUCUUCUCUUAUUUUCUUUUCUUUCUGUGCGUAUGUUGUUGUUGGGAGAGAGGAGGGGUAUUUUUAUCCAUUCUCAUGCCUAUUUGCCAAUUAACAAAGCCACGUAAGUAAUCAUAUGACCUGAAAGCGAUUAACCGGCUCAAAGAACGAAAUUUUAAAUAAUUAAUGAUUGCAAGACUAAUUUGGAAGGGAUAGCGAAUACAGAGACCGAUUUUUAAACGAUUCCUAAUUACAAGGAUAAAAUACAUAUUUAAGCAUUUUUUGUAUCUCUUGAAAACAUUCAUUGGUAUUGAUAGUGAAUUGGAGAGUUGCUCUCUCCACUGAAUGUAGGUCAAUCUAUGUUGAAAUAGGUAAAUAAUAUUGGCCCAAUAGUUUCUAUAUUUUCUUUAUCUCGUUGUUCUUUACAUUGAAUGUUUCAUAGUGCAUUACACUUAGAGAUUUGUUCUUGGUUGUUAUAGUUGUUAGCUUGGGAUGUUUAGUUUCGAUAGUCAUUGUUAUUUGUUCCAUAUUCUUGUUGAAACCAUCAACAAGUGGCAUGGGUCACUAGGAAGGGAACAAAUCUUUCAAGUGAGCAUCCUGGGUGAUAAAUGGGAUACUGAGAAAUUUUCCGAAAAUAUCAAUUUUGGAUUGUGGAAAGUGAAGAUGGAAGCAAUCUAAUUCAACAUAAAUGUGUAGAUGCUUUGAAUGAUGAGGCUUUAAUGUCUAAGACUCUGACCAAAUCAGAGAAGACUAAGAUGAUAAUUAAAGCAGGUAGUUUAAUCAUCUUGUGCUCAAAAAUUAAUUGUUGAGGGAAAUCACGGGAAAAAGAUUGCAACGAAGAUGUGGACCAAGCAGGGCUGUUCCAAUAAAAUUGGAAGUUUGGCUCUAAUAUUAAAAAUGGAGUUAAUGAUAAUUUAAAUAAUUGCAAAUUAAUAAUAAGGAUAAUUUUGAUUUUAAUUUGUUUUGGUGAAUUUUUUUUUUGUUGAUAGAUGUGUGGGUUUAGCCUAACUUGGUGUGUUUGCUCUGCAAAACAGCAAGUACUGGACAGAACAGUACAAGAUAGAACAGUACAACACAAGGCAGAACAGCACAUGACAAAUUUUUUAUGGCAUUGAGUAAUUUUUUGUUUUAUACGAUUUUUGAGGGACAAAAUGCUAUUUUGGUAUUUUAGACAACUUGUACGUGGGACAAAAAGUUGUGCUNAAUUGCAAUCAUUUAGAAGGUAAACCUUGCUUCUUCCUCUCUCGUAUUGUUUCUGUAUAAUUUUUUUAGAGUUCUGCCAUAUUCAAUGAAAAGUUUGAUCCUUUUAUUUCUGUAAAUUUUAUGCACCCUACCAAAAGUUUGUGAAUUUUACAACAUAGCAGAACAUGUACAUUUAAAUAACAUAAUGCGAUAAACGCGAAAAUUUGUAAAUGUGCCUCUGGUAUGUACAUACCGAAGGUGUAAAAUGUGAAAAUUUAAAAUGCACUACCGGUAUGUAACUACCGGAUAUAUUAUAAAGGUUAUUUUUGUAUUUUUAGGGGGCCUAAAGAGAUAUUGGGGGGGCCUAAAAAGCAAUCUUCAACCAUGAUAGGCUGGCCCACUUCCGGCCCAAGCCUCGCCAUUUUUUUAGUUUAGCCCAACUUAUAUUAAUUUUGACAGAUUUUCCUCCGGUCUUAUUUAUAUAAAAUAUUUCACUUUUUUGAUUCAUUGUAUGAAUAAUAUAUUUAAUUUAUAUUUUAGACAAAAUACAUUAAUUAUUUAAUAAAUUUAAAAAGUCAAAAAUUUCUUAUAAAUAGGAACGGAGGGAGUACUUGUUAACGAAUGUCUUCCGACACUUUUUAAGCAUCUCUAAUAAAGAAAUUAUUUAUAAAAUAAAAUAAAGGUUUUACACAAUUGGGAAUUUGUAUGAAUCAAACGUAAUAAUCAACGAAAGUCAAUGUUUCUUGAGGAAUAUGUCUAAAUUUAUUUUGAGGAAAUUAUAAUAUAUUUUACAUGGUGAGUGGAGAAGAUGCAUGGUUAAUUAAAUAAUGGAUGUCCUCGUGAGCUUAACUCAGUUUGCAUGAACAAUGCAUAAUAAAAAUUGAUUUUUUGACAAUGAAUAUUUUCUAUUGACACAAGUAAAUGACGUUUUUACCUCGAGCGGCAGUUAACAACUGUUAGUCUAAGCGCCAGCUGUUAACAACCAUUGGCUCCAGCGGUAGUUAAUUGCUGCUACGUGCGUUAUGGGGAUGCAUUGUCUUUUUCAUCAUUCAACAUCUUUUUCAUCAUUCAUUCAACCUAUUUUUUCAACAUUCAGCCACUUUUUUCAUCAUUCAAUCUCUUUUUCCAUCAUUCGUUCAAUUCUUUUUUGAACAUUCAGCCUAUUUUUUCUACAUUUUUUCCUAUAAAAACCCUCACAUUCUCUCCUCCUUACUCUCAUUUCCUCAAAUUCUCUCCUCCUUACUCUCAUUCUUCCUCUUUCUUCUACAAAAUGUUGGUUUGUCAUCAUUCGUCUUUCAUUGAAAUAAGCCUCUUUGAACAUUUUAAGAGGUUUCUUUGAAUUGGUUUUACCCCAGGAUUUAGGGUUUAGGGUUUAUGGUUUGUGUUUUUUUUUCUUUGUUUUAACCCAAGUGGUAGUUAAAUGUAUUAUUAAACAACAAGAGUGCAAAGGUGAGGAACAAUAUUUUUUGGGUCAUCUUGGUGUUGUCUUGUAUGAGUAUCUUGGAGAAGAGUAUUCAAAAGUUCUAGGAAUAAAGAUGACUCCACCUAUUAAGGAAUAAAUGUACGACGAGAGGAACAAUUUUUCGUCAUCUUUGUGUUGUCUUGUAUGAGUAUCUUGGAGAAGAAUAUCCAUAAGUUCUAGGAAUAAAGAUGACUCCACCUAUUAAGGAAUAAAUGUACGACGAAGAUGUUAUUUUUAAUGUUAUUGGUAUGACAAAGAUGACUCCACCUAUUAACGAAUAAAUGUACGACGAAGAUGUUAUUUUUAAUGUUAUUGGUACGACGAAGCAGAUUUAGUUUUACCCCAUUGUAAAUGUAUUAUUAUAUUAAUAAAAUGUGAUUUUAUAUCUAUUACUUGUGUUCCUUUAUUUUAGUUUUUAUUUGCAUUUAUUUAUUUAUAUGAAAUACAAAAAUUCAUAUAAAAAUGUGUAUUAAAGAAAUUAAUACGAACACAACAGCAGUUAACAACCGAUGGAGCCAACGGUUGUUAACAGCUGCCGCUUAGCCCAACGGUUGUUAACAACCGUUGGGGAUAUUUAAGUAUUUUACUUGUGUCAUUGUGAAGUUUCUUAGGUCAUAAAAACAAUUUUCAUGCAUAAUAUAUGCAUGAUCUGGGGUUCGAACCCCGAUCACCAUAAAAAAAAAAAAAAAAAACUAUUAAAAAAAGGAUGGGGUGAUGUGGCUUCAUGGAGUGUGUUAAAGGAGUGAGUUUGAGAGUGUGAUCAUAGCAUUUAUCUUCUUUUGUAUGGUUGUUACGGGCUUUCUCGACGAAAAAAUGUUCUUUUUUUUAAGAAAAGGAGCGGGGAAUGUUAAAGACCUUUUCAUACUGUCCUUUAUUGAUUAUGUAUUUUCUAUUCGUAUUGGUGUUUAUGCCUUAACAUCAUAUUCUUGGUGUUUCUAUCAAAAGCGUGGCGUCACAGGCACAGACGAAACUUGUUCAAAAGGCUUUUGGAGCGCGAGGCAUUAUUAGGAAGUGUGAGGCGUUUUUGUCGGGUUUGGGUGAUAAAAAUAGAUUAUUGUUUCUCGUUUUACGUAUUUUGUAGAGAUCAACUUUCACUAAAAGAUGGAACUUUGAGCAAAACUUAAAGAUUAAGGAUUUAGUGUUGAGAAAUGAUAUUUGUACAAACCAUUUUUGUACAACUUUUGUACAACCUUCUCUCUCAUACUCACAUUAUCUUCUUAUUCUCUCUCUUCCUCUUUCUCUCUCUAUUAUUUUUGACCAAUAAGAAGAGAACACAACAAGGUUGUCCCAAAAGUUGUAUCAAAAGAGUUGUUCAAAUAUCACUACUCUUUAGUGUUAUUGUGUGAGAUAAUAUGGUUGAGAAACACAUUCUAAACACCUUGAACAGUGAGAUUACAUUGGAGGAAGGAUCUAAACUUUCUCUCUUUAUUUUAUUGAGUGAUCUUGUUCUGGGUUGAGAGAAAGAGAGAGUAAAAAUUAGGGUUUGCUCUUGUUGAGAUUUAAAGUUAAUUUUUUGCAGGCUCAAAUAUGUAUUUCAUCGUUGCAAUUGGGGAUCGUUUAAAAAUUGGUUCAUGUAUUCGCUAAUCCUUGCAAACUAGCAUUGCAAUCAUUAAUCAUUUAAAAUUUCGUCACUUAAUGACCGCCACAUCAUCAAAUUAACAAAAUGGCAUAGGAAUGGACAAAAAUACCCUCAUCAUCCUUCUUCUUCCUUUGAACAUUGUUCAUCUUCAAUUUUUCAGAAACAAACCAUCUUCUUCUUCCUUUGAACCAUGAAUCAGUCCAACAACUUAGAAUUGACGGGUGAUUUUUACUGGUAAUGCUUCAUUGACCUCGAAGUGGAAGUUAUAAUUGCAUACAGCCAUACAUGAAUGAUUCAGAAUAUCAAUUUUUUUUUUAUUGUCCUUUCACCAGAAAAUUAAAAUGUUUUUCUCUAAUAACACGAAUCCAGAAAUUCAUUGAACACCUUUAUCCCAAGAACACAAACCCAUAAAUUCUCUCUAUCGUCUUUCUUCUUCCUCCUUCUUGUUCCUUCAUCCCAACCACUAAAACCAGAAUCAAACCCUAAUCAGUGUGUCCUUUCAAAAUUCGCUCUCAGUUUCAUCAAUUUGGGUGAAGAAUGAUUUUGGGUUGUUUUUUUAAAAAUUUGCACCUUUUUAUGGAAGAACAAGAAUGAUUAUGGGUUGUUCUUCUGACUCGAUUGUGAUUGUG
rnacentral:lncRNA from 1 species